rnacentral:rRNA from 1 species
UGGGGAAUAUUGGACAAUGGAGGCAACUCUGAUCCAGCAAUUCUGUGUGUGUGAAGAAGGUUUUAGGACUGUAAAACACUUUUAGUAGGGAAGAAAGAAAUGACGGUACCUACAGAAGAAGCGACGGCUAAAUACGUGCCAGCAGCCGCGGUAAUACGUAUGUCGCGAGCGUUAUCCGGAAUUAUUGGGCUUAAAGGGCAUCUAGGCGGUUAAACAAGUUGAAGGUGACAACCUGUGGCUCAACCAUAGGCUUGCCUACAAAACUGUAUACCUAGAGUACUGGAAAGGUGGGUGUAACUACACGAGUAGAGGUGAAAUUCGUAGAUAUGUUUAGGAAUGCCCAUGAUGAAGAUAACUCACUGGACAGCAACUGACGCUGAAGUGCGAAAGCUAGGGGAGCAAACAGG